AGCACUCUGGACUUUGAAUCCAGCGACCUGGGUUCGACUCCCGGUAGGACCUUUUUCUUUCAAGUUUCAUUUUUCUAAAUGUAACUGUUCUUUUUCAGAAAUCAGUAUCUGUAUCUUUAGAGUAGUGCUACAGGCAGGCAUAAUGUCGUGCCUGCCCGAACGCCACUAACGUGGCAUUUAUAUAAAUAUAUAUAUAUAUAUACAUAUAUAUGUAUAUAUAAAUAAAUAAAAAAAAAAAAAAAAAAAAGAUGCAAAUGAAUCGAGAAGGGAAAAAUGCAUACCCAGUUCAAGCGGAAGGGGAAAAUGCCGUGCCUCACCAUUUCGUUCUCUUCCUCGGCAUAGUAGCUCCGGUGUGCACCAGUUGCAGCAACUCAUGGCUUUGAACCUGAUAAGUUUCUUUCAAUUUGUCAAUGGCAGAGACUCAUUGUAUUUUUCACAAGUUUUUAUUUUAUGGGAAAUGGCAAAGAGGAAAAAGUUGCAAAUGAUUGCCCCUCACACAAAAAGGAUUUUCCAGUCAACCUUUUCACAGUUGCUUUCCUCAUCUGCUUCCCACUCACACACACAUACACAAUCAUAGAGCACUGAUGUGUCUUCUCUCUCUCUCUCUCUCUCUCUCUCUCUCUCUAUUUCUGCAUUAUCUGUGUUAGUCUCUCCCUCUUUUCUUCCUCAGUUGAAAUGAGAGUAAGACAACAGCGAUCAAAGAAAAAACGCUGCGUGUUCUCAAGUGGAGGGAGAAGAAGAGUCUCAAAUGAAAAACGCAGCGUUUUGUAUUUUCAGAAGGGGGUUCGAUCAGUUGAACAAAACAUGAACGUUUUCAUCACUUAGUUCAAACGGGACGUUUUAGUCGACGUAGGAGACCGUCCACGGGGAGCCCCCCCCCUCCACAAGAGGCCUGGUUCCAAUUACAAACUCAUUUGUCCCCCUUUUCGGUGUUCUAUUGCUUGGAUGAAACGCCAGAAAUUUACCAGAUCAGAAUUCCACUAUUGAUAGAGCUACUACUACAUACCAUGAUUCCAGUUUUUAUAAGAUUACCCAAAAAUAUAAAAAGGUUCCCAUUUCUGAAA